UACGUAGGAGACGAGCGUUGUCCGGAGUUACUGGGCGUAAAGGGCGCGCAGGUGGCGGCGCGCGUGGGGGGUGAAAUCGCCCGGCUUAACUGGGCGGGGGCCUUCCAGACGGCGUGGCUUGAGCAGCGGAGGGGGACGUGGAAUUCCGGGUGGAGCGGUGAAAUGCGUAGAUAUCGGAAGGAACACCAGUGGCGAAAGCGGCUUCCUGGUCCAGCACCGACAUUCAGGCACGAAAGCGUGGGGAGCAAACAGG
rnacentral:rRNA from 1 species